rnacentral:rRNA from 1 species
AGUGAACGCUGGCGGCAGGCCUAACACAUGCAAGUCGAACGGCAGCACAGUACGUGCUUGUGGUUACGGGGGGCGAGUCGCGGGCGUGAGACGUAAAUAUCCGAAUCUACUGUUUCGGGGGGCAUCACGUAGGGAGACUUACUACAAUAGCGCAUAUCAUGUACGUGGGAGAGGGUGGGAUCUUCGCCCCUUGCGCGAGUGGAUGCGCGGAUGUCGGAUUAGCUAGUUGGCGGGGUAAAGACCCAGCAAGGCGACGAUCUGUAGCUGGUGUGAGAGGAUGAUCAGCCACACUGGAACUGAGACACGGACCAGACUCCUACGGGAGGCAGCAGUGGGGAAUGUUGGACAAAGGGCGGAAGCCUGAUCCAGCCAUACCGCGUGGGUGAAGAAGGCCUUCGGGUUGUAAAGCCCUUUUGUUGGGAAAGAAAAGCAUCAGGUUAAUACCCCGCGGUUGUGACGGUACCGAAAGAAUAAGCACCGGCUAACUACGUG